rnacentral:rRNA from 3 species
UACAGAGGGUGCGAGCGUUGUCCGGAAUCACUGGGCGUAAAGGGCGCGUAGGCGGUGACUUAAGCGUGUGGUGAAAGCUCGGGGCUCAACCCCGAGUCGGCCGUGCGAACUGGGUCACUGGAGCAGAUCAGAGGCAGGCGGAAUUCCGGGUGUAGCGGUGGAAUGCGUAGAGAUCCGGAAGAACACCGGUGGCGAAGGCGGCCUGCUGGGAUCUUGCUGACGCUGAGGCGCGACAGCGUGGGGAGCAAACAGG